rnacentral:rRNA from 1 species
AUACGGAGGGUGUGAACGUUGCUCGGAAUCACUGGGCGUAAAGAGCUCGUAGGCGGUUUAUCAAGUUAGGUGUGAAAUCCCCGGGCUUAACCUGGGAAGUGCACUUAAAACUGGUAGGCUAGAGUUUGGGAGAGGAUAGCGGAAUUCCCGGUGUAGAGGUGAAAUUCGUAGAUAUCGGGAGGAACACCAGAGGCGAAGGCGGCUUACUGGACCAAUACUGACACUGAGACUCGAAAGCGUGGGUAGCAAACAGGAUUAGAAACCCGAGUAGUCC